CACAGCCCCCCGCCUCCUCCUCCUCCCGGUAGGGGCCGCCCCUCCUCCUCCUCCUUUCGAUCGGCGCUGCCCCGGCUCCCCAUGAUGAGCCAUCACCAGAUCUGGUCAGCCACAAGCUCGUGGAUCCAGCCAUCCACAGGCUUCGCCGAGCCACUAUCUUCGGAUCCAUGGCUGGCCACGCAGCCAAUGAGGACGCGGCCUCGAUCUGGAGUGCCUCCACCGCCCCCUACCGCAGCCCCGGUAGGACACCACCACCUGCCCCCACAACGCCGCUCAACUCCCGGCACCGCCCCGCGAUGCACCACCAUCCAGCAACCACCCCCCGACCGCCGGCGGAGAUCCGGGCGCGCCGCCCCAAGGCGCCCCGUGCGGCUGCUGGCGUGGAUCCGGGCGUGCCGCCCCCAUCCACCCCGCGCGCAUGCCGGUGCAGAUCCGCCCCCGUCGCCCCGCCGUGGCCUACCCAACCGCACGGUCCUCCCCCUCGCUCCCCGUUUCCUCACCGCCGCCAAGAUCUAGCUGCUCUGCUAGCCUACAGAGCGCGGCGAGGUCCAUUAACAUGCCUGGCGUGCAGCUCAGGCAAGCAUGAUGUCCAGCUCCCCCAGCGUUCGCUUGCAGUUCGCCGGCUAAUUGUGCACGUCCUGGGGUUCAUAGAUGGCGCAUGUGCAGCUCGGAAACAGCCUCCGUGUUGUUCACUUGUGGAUGCAUCAUCCAUGCAUUUUUUUUGUUGUUCAUAUUUUUGGCAGGGAGGUUAGCUUGGGUCCCCAAUUCUCCAGUGGUUCUGAACUCCAGCGACCACAACGUGGGUGUGGUACGUGCCGCUCGCACCAGUUUAUCAUCUAUGCAUGCGAGGUUCAUGCACCAGCAGCUCCCCUUGGCCAUCGGUAGUGUGGCAUGUAGUUCAUCCAUCGACGGUUGUGGAAAUCAUUUGCAGUGCACUUAGUAAGAAGGAGAAGAGAACAUCGAUGUUCAUUUUGAAGUUUGAUUUGUUGUUUAUGGGAAACACAGAGAGAAAAAGGUAGUAAGAAUGGAUGGUCAUUUUGUAUAAGCAAGUCUUUCCCUAGUGCAGUUUGUUAGGCACUGCAUCGUUGAUUCUGUGGCCGUGUAAAAAAUAAUGAAUGAAUAUGUAUGCUUUUAAGCUCACUUCGUUCUUUCAUGCA